rnacentral:rRNA from 1 species
AAACAUUGAUGAUAAUUUACAACUGNNAUCCGCCUGGGAACUACGAGCACCAGCUUAAAACCCAAAGGACUUGGCGGUGCUUUAGACCCACCUAGAGGAGCCUGUCUAGAACCGAUAACCCCCGUUCAACCUCACCCUUCCUUGUUCUUCCCGCCUAUAUACCACCGUCGUCAGCUUACCCUGUGAAGGGCUAAUAGUAAGCAAAACUGGCAAAGCCCAAAACGUCAGGUCGAGGUGUAGCGUAUGGAAGGGGAAGAAAUGGGCUACAUUCACUAACCCAGUGCACACGAAUGACACUCUGAAACACGUGUCUGAAGGAGGAUUUAGCAGUAAGCAGAAAAUAGAGUGUUCU